rfam:Gossypium raimondii Chr05_contig_391, whole genome shotgun sequence.
AAACCAUGCAUAGGACAUAUUCUAAGUAAUUCCUUAAAUCUUUCCCAGGCUUGAUAAAGCGUUUCAUCCUCUAAUUACCGAAAUAUAUGAUCUCAUUUCUAAGGUU